GACGAACGCUGGCGGCGUGCCUAGUACAUGCAAGUCGAGCGCAGGAAACUGACGGAACUCUUCGGAGGGAAGGCAGUGGAAUGAGCGGCGGACGGGUGAGUAACACGUAAGGAACCUGCCUCAAGGAUUGGGAUAACUCCGAGAAAUCGGAGCUAAUACCGGAUAGUUCAACGGACCGCAUGGUCCGCUGAUGAAAGGCGCUUCGGCGUCACCUUGAGAUGGCCUUGCGGUGCAUUAGCUAGUUGGUGGGGUAACGGCCCACCAAGGCGACGAUGCAUAGCGGACCUGAGAGGGUGAUCGGCCACACUGGGACUGAGACACGGCCCAGACUCCUACGGGAGGCAGCAGUAGGGAAUCUUCCACAAUGGACGAAAGUCUGAUGGAGCAACGCCGCGUGAGUGAUGAAGGUUUUCGGAUCGUAAAACUCUGUUGUAAGGGAAGAACACGUACGAGAGGGAAUGCUCGUACCUUGACGGUACCUUACGAGAAAGCCACGGCUAACUACGUGCCAGCCGCCGCAGUAA
rnacentral:rRNA from 1 species